rnacentral:rRNA from 1 species
CCCUUAGAUGUUCUGGGCCGCACACGCGCUACACUGAAGGAGGCAGCGUGUACUCCUGGAUCGAAAGAUUUGGGUAACCCGCGAAUCUCCUUCGUGCUAGGGAUUGAGGUUUGCAAUUAUCCUUCAUGAACAAGGAAUUCCCAGUAAGUGCAAGUCAUAAGCUUGCGCUGACUACGUCCCUGCCCUUUGUACACACCGCCCGUCGCUACUACCGAUUGAAUGAUUUAGUGAGGACUUCGGACUGGGACCGAUGCGGCUUUCGGGCUGCGUCGGUAUUCUGGAAAGAUGUCCAAACUGUAUCAUUUAGAGGAAGUAAAAGUCGUANCA